UCCGGAUGCUUUGUACAAAGUC
rnacentral:miRNA from 1 species